UGCCAGCCGCCGCGGUAAUACGUAAGUCGCAAGCGUUAUCCGGAAUUAUUGGGCGUAAAGCGUGCGUAGGCGGAUCGACAAGUUGGGGGUGAAAUCCCGGGGCUUAACCCCGGAACUGCCCUCAAAACUGUCGAUCUAGAGACCGGGAGAGGUAAGCGGAAUUCCUAGUGUAGAGGUGAAAUUCGUAGAUGUUAGGAAGAACACCAGUGGCGAAGGCGGCUUACUGGACCGGUACUGACGCUGAGGCGCGAAAGUGUGGGGAGCAAACAGGAUUAGAUA
rnacentral:rRNA from 1 species